GACGAACGCUGGCGGCGUGCCUAAUACAUGCAAGUCGAGCGAGACUCUUCGGAGUCUAGCGGCGGACGGGUGAGUAACACGUGGGCAACCUGCCUGUAAGACUGGGAUAACACCGGGAAACCGGUGCUAAUACCGGAUAAUCCUUUUCCUCUCAUGAGGAAAAGCUGAAAGUCGGUUUCGGCUGACACUUACAGAUGGGCCCGCGGCGCAUUAGCUAGUUGGUGAGGUAACGGCUCACCAAGGCGACGAUGCGUAGCCGACCUGAGAGGGUGAUCGGCCACACUGGGACUGAGACACGGCCCAGACUCCUACGGGAGGCAGCAGUAGGGAAUCUUCCACAAUGGACGAAAGUCUGAUGGAGCAACGCCGCGUGAGCGAUGAAGGCCUUCGGGUCGUAAAGCUCUGUUGUUAGGGAAGAACAAGUACCGGAGUAACUGCCGGUACCUUGACGGUACCUAACCAGAAAGCCACGGCUAACUACGUGCCAGCCGCCGCGGUAACAC
rnacentral:rRNA from 1 species